rnacentral:rRNA from 1 species
AGAGUUUGAUCAUGGCUCAGGAUGAACGCUAGCUACAGGCUUAACACAUGCAAGUCGAGGGGCAGCAUGUUGGUUGCUUGCAACCAAUGAUGGCGACCGGCGCACGGGUGAGUAACGCGUAUCCAACCUACCCUUGUCCAUCGGAUAACCCGUCGAAAGGCGGCCUAACACGAUAUGCGGUUCACAGCAGGCAUCUAAGGUGAACGAAAUGUGAAGGAGAAGGAUGGGGAUGCGUCUGAUUAGCUUGUUGGCGGGUAACGCCACAAGGCUACGAUCGAGUAGGGGUUCUGAGAGGAAGUCCCCCANAUUGGAACUGAGACACGGUCCAAACUCCUACGGGAGCA